rnacentral:lncRNA from 1 species
GAGCACAGUGGAUUCAGAGGAUAGACUGCAGUUCAAUAAUUUUUAGUAAAUAUCUCCCAACUGUUUGGCACUAUUGGAACAAGUUCUUGAAUGCCAAAUGAAGGUAUAAAUCAGUGAGAGGCAUAAUAAAAGCUGAGCAGUGCUUGGCUUUUUAUGAGCUGAUCCUGACAGGAGCAGCUAUUCAACAAAAUUGCCAGGCCAUUGUUACAUAGUCCCUGCCUUCUAGGGGCUCACUGCCUACUAGGAGAGAGAGUCUGAAAGUUGGUGCAGCGUGUAACUGUUGGAUCAGGAGUUUUGAGCCUGUGAACUGUGGGACCCCAGAGGAGGGUGUGACUACUCUAGGCAGAACAAUUCCACAGUUUAUAUUUAACCUUGAAAUUCAUUAGAGGAUUUUUCAGCAGAGGGUUGGUACUUAAGGUUUGCAUUCUGUAGAACCUCAAGGAAAGCUGUACUGUGCAUAAUGUACCCUCUUAUGUUAAUGUUGUGUACUGUGAUCCUGUUUCAGGGAUUUGCACUUAGAAUCUGUUACAGUGAGCAAAGAAGCAGACCUGUGGGCUCAUAGUCUUCACCCCCUGACCCAUAUAUACAAGAUGAACAGAGCUGUGGAGGUUAGACAACUUGCCCGAACAACACAGUUCAUGGUAAAGCCCAAGACUGUACCUGCCCGUCCAGUGCUUUUUCAUUGUAUCCUGGAACUAAGCAUAGACCACUUCCCAGGCACAGCUGACAGCAAGUAAAGGAGAUCAUAAUCAGGGGACCAGACAACUUUGUCUAAGUGUGAAUGUCACCUAAGGAGCAGCUGUGAGAGCAGAAGGGUGGGGUAGAGGAGCAGACACCAUGAGGGAGAGUCCUUGGGGGUGCGUCUGCCAGACUGACACUGCCUGGCCUGGGCAAUGGAGGGGCUGGCAGGAACCACAGGUACUGGUGGUGUGGCUACUACAGUUACAACUGCCUGUGCUUGGACGUGGACCCUCUGCAAUACGCAGUCUCAUUCAUUGCCCCCUACAUUCUACACCAAGUAGAAAUGGAAGGCGAAUGGGUACUUCACAGAGAGACAAGAUCUAAGUGGAGAAGGAAUGCAUCCUGUGGCUGCGGAGAUCCUUGGAGCUUGGAGGGGAAAGCUUGAGCCCCACUGGUGAUGACCUCCCACAGCUCCCCAACUCAGCCCUCCCCAAGUCCCCACUGGGGGCCAAUUCUCCAGAUUGGGGGGACUUCCCCAUAGCUCAUCCAUCAUAGGGAUGUUGGUAUCUACUGUUGGUUGGGUAGGGCCGGUGUGCUGAGGAUGGCUCCCCGACAAGCAAGAGAUGUGGAUUUGGGGAGCUUCCCAUCUUGCGUCCCUUGGGCAGUGCUACCUGCCCCAUUUUUUAAAGUGUUUGAUGAGAUGGAACUGCUUCCAGGAGACCACUGGGCUUUUUAUGGACUCUUAAAGGUUUCUCACACUUCUGACCUUUCCCACUGGAGAUCCGCAGCUAUAAAUCUCAGUAACUAACAUUUAUCUAGAAACACUGACUGGUGGCUUGAUAAGAGAAAUUUUGAAGAGGUUCUUAACUCUGAAGGAGAAUGUGUGCACUGAGCUCCAAGGCCCUUUCCUUGCAUCCCUGCUAGGCUUCCUUCCUUCAGGCAUGCUGCCUGCCUUGCCCUGGCAGCAGCCAAAGCAUCAAGAGUUAUGGUGCCUUUGCCUUUGUCAUUGGAGUAGAUACCAUUCAACAGGCCUGUGCCUGGGCCCUUUCUGCUUUCUCUUCCACAGAGCCUCCCGGUGCACAGAUGAACUCUAGGGUUCUGGGCCCUGUGGAAAUCACACUGACCUGGUAACAUAAUGAAGAGGGACCAUAGAGCUUGUGGACACCAGGCCUGCAGGAGAUGGAACCUUCUAGAAGGGAGUGGCUGUGGUGGUGCCUUCUGGAGAAUAGCAAAGAUAAACAUGCCAUGUACAGCACGAGGGGCUCCUCACCCUGAGAAUGGGGUAAGGAGAUGGAUGUAGGCAGAGAGCCACUUCUCAGGGAAAGGAGAGGAGGGGCCCUUCUGGAGAUUUUCAGCAGAGUUAGGGCUGAGGCUGGGGGUCAGCACCCCUCACCUAUCCUUCCUUUCUGAGAGCCAACUUCUGAGCCCACCAUCCCUAUCAGGGAAUAUUUCCUAGCCACAAGUAACCACUGACCUGUAGUCACUGGCGUUGUGGUUGCUGGAGCUGUGAUCACUGGGGCUGUGGUUACAGGAGCUGUGUUCUGGAGGAACAAGAGUUCAGAUGCAGAAUGUUACUCUGGGUUUUCUUAUUCUCACCUAUGGGUGCCUCACCCGGGGUUAAACUUCUGCCCCUUUUCCUUCUGGAGCCCCUGUGGAGACUCCUGCUAUGCAGCAAAGCCUGGAAGGGGCCCCUGGCUAUGGAGGGAGGUUGAGCAGCCACAGGUUUGGUUGGAAGAAGGAGACCUGGACUCCCAGAUCCUCAAUACCCAGGGAAAGUCAGUUCCUGUGGCUGCCCCUGACACUAGGACCUGGAUCUGAGUGAGCAUUUUUCUGCUCCUCCCUGAGCUUUCAGGCACAGGGCUACAUGAGGCUCAGGAACUCCCAGAGUCCUGGGGAAAUGGGUCUGUUUCUCAUGGGACAAAAAUUCUCAGGUCCUUCUCUUUCAGAUUCCUAAGUUGCUUAUAAGAGAUUAAGUGGGAAUAAGCCAGUGCUAAAUGGCAAUCUGAGUGUGUAAUGUGCAUGUGUACAUGUGAUGUAUAAGGUAUGCUGUGUGUAUGUAGAUUUGUAUAUAUGUGUGUGUUUAUAAGCAUGUAUGGGUUUUUGUAUAUGUAUGUGCACAUUGAUGUAUAUAAGCAUAGCAUGUGUGGGUGUGUUUGUGUGUAUUGCUCUGUGACUUCCUCAUACUGGCACCACCCUGGCCUUUUCUUGGUUGCCCCCACCCUGUGGGUUGUAAGGAGCAGAACAGCGCUCCACCUGCAGGCAUGGAAGGGGGGUCAGGAGAAGUGUUGGGGAGAGCUGGUCCUCUUCACACUUGGAAUAAGGAAACAGGAGCUAAAUGGAUGGGUCCCUCCCUUUUACAGAAUUCUGCAUUAAUAAAAGUGUCAGUCACUUUCCUAAGGGAUUUACAGGAAUCAAAUCAUUUAAACUUCACAAGAGCCCCAUGACAUAGGGACAACUUUCAACCCCAUUUUUCAGACAAGGAAACUGAGGUCAGUAGGAGAUUCGUUGACUCUCAGUGGGCUGAUUCAUGAUUCUAAGGAAACAGUCUGACUGCUGAGCCCAAGUAACCAUGCUGUCCUGCUGACCCCCAUAUUUGUCCACUGGCCACCUAUGAGUCACCUCCGGUGGGCUCUGAGCAGCUUCCCUUUCUUCUCCAGGCACAGAGACUGAACUGGAGUCUACUGCAUUUGCCACAGUCCUAAUGAGGGCAACUACAGGGAGCUGAGGGGCUUGAAGUUGAUAGUGGCAGGAGGCAAAUCCCUAGGCAGAUAGGGCAGGUGCCCAGUGAAAUCGCACCUUCAAGCCAAAACAGCCUGAAGCCUGAACACUGGGCUGCUUGUUCUGUAUGAAACCCACAACUCAAAGUGAGAAUUUCUGUUCCUGUUUGCCCACUUUUUCCCAAUUGAUUCUUUCUGAAUAAUGCUUUUAAGCCAAUUGAAUGAUGCCCUAUGCAGUGCUACCUGUGCCUAUAAAAGCCCAAGAUUCAGAUACACAGAGGGACUCCCGGCCUUCAGGUUGGGGUAAGAAACCACCCUCGCAUCCCUCUCUGCUGAUGGCUGUUUCAUCACUCAAUAAAGCUAUUCUUUACCCUCUUCACCCUACAACUGUCAGUGUAACCUCAUUCUUCUUGGACAGGGUACAAGAACUGGGAACCCACUGUGGCCCUCUGCCCGCUGAGGGCAGCCACCCCUAUGAUGGGAAGUGGCAACAGAGCUGACAGAGCUGUUAAUGAGUGGGACUAAAAGAGCUAAUUAGCAUGCCGUAACACCUCCUUGGGGCUUCAGAGUUGCAGGCACCACUGCCUGGGCACCACCCUGUAUGUACCCCUCACCUGGACGCCAGGGGAUCCAGCUGCAAGCCCUACACAGAGCCCACUCCUGUGCCGGAGCUUGGAAUGGCUGGCUGGGUUGUGCACUUGCUUGCUCAGACACUCCCUCCCAUCAGGGGCUGAGCACACAGUUGUGGCGGCCACAGGAUCCACGCUGGAGUGCAAGCCAGGCGUGGCCCAAUGGGCUGAGUAAAUGGGGCGCCUCCUGGUGACCCCCACCCUAGUGAGGCCUGGGGUGGGGGUGGGGAAUCACCAGCGUCAGAGGUCUUGGACUGGCAAGUGGCUGAGAAAAAUCCUGUGUCAAAGUGACCCAUAGUCAGCCAGGUGUGGUGGGUCAUGCCUGUAAUCCCAGGAAUUUGGGAGGCUGAGGUGGGCAGAUCAUGAGGUCAGGAGUUCAAGACCAGCCUGGCCAAAUAUGGUGAAACCCCGUCCCUACUAAAAAUACAAAAAUUAGCUGGGUGUGGUGGCAUGCACCUGUAGUUCCAGCUACUCAGGAGGCUGGGGCAGAAGAAUCGCUUGAACCUGGGAGGCAGAGAUUGCAGUGAGCUGAGAUUGUGCCACUGCACUCCAGCCUGGGCAACAGAGCGAGACUCCAUCUCAAAAAAAAAAAAAAAAA